AACAAAUGAAGAAAGCAAUAAAGAAAAGAAGAAGGAAAGAGCAAUUAUGGGUACUUAUCAGGAUGCUAAAUCAAGAAUAUUGCUAGGAUUGGAUGAGUUCGAUGUCCUAUUAUUUAGAGAGAUUAGGAUAUAUUUCUGAGAUUUAAUACCUUGGUCAUAAGAAACUAAUAUAUGUAUAUAUAUUUUAUUUCAUUUAUAGAGUUUCCUUUUUUAUAUGCAAUCCAACAAUAAAUUUGAGGUAUAUAUGUAACUAGGGGUGAC
rnacentral:lncRNA from 1 species